rnacentral:lncRNA from 1 species
CUUGAAAAUUAACUAUUUUAACAAUAGAUCGAUAUCAAACAAAAAUGUUUUAUUGUCAUCUUUUGGACGCAAUAGGUAAACGAAACAUCCAAUGUCGAAUCAUCAACUAACAGUCCUAACAAAAAAAUGUUACAACCCCGUGGUGCAGCGCAAUCUCGACAGCGCCGUGGAAUUGAUCUUCCCGGACGUUUAAUGUGAUCCCGAGGAAUGUUAUUCCACUUGUCCCGCCAAGCAAACUCAAGCUGACUUUAUGAUAUUGGAGGUGGUUUUCAUCGUCUAAAACAUGUCAAAUCUGAUGCAAAAUUUGGUCGAUCGGACCAAAAUCCGGCGAAAAGCAUGACUUUUAUCCAAGGCGGGUGCCAAAUGCCUAUGUAACCACCAUUGACGUUUUUUGUACAUAAUGAAUGAUUUUUGGUCUACAGAAUUCGAUAUUUACGCCAGACGGCCUUUUAAAUGUCACUAAGGAAAGAUUGUGGUGCUCUUAAACAAUUUCUGCGCAAAUGGUGCUUUCAACUGAAUUGCUCCAAAGGUUCUACCGUGACCACCAUUGAACUCUUUGACCUUUGGACAGCCAUCAAAGUCGAUAUCGGAUAUGUGAAAGGCCAAAUGUAUCGGUCUUGCUGAGCGUUUUUUGCUUUUUGUACCCCGGGAUGUGGCUUAUCAUUAAAUGAUCCAUUUUGGUUGAAUUUGUGGAUGAUUUGGGUUAUUGUAGAGGCUACAACUUCAGUCUUCUCGUAAUUGUAUACUGUGAAAGGCUUCAUUGGAUCAUGCCCAAAACUGCAUGUCGCUGGUUGUCGGAAAGUAUUGGCAUUUACUCAGACGUUUAUUGCAGUUUCCUAACAA